CACGUAGGGGGCGAGCGUUGUCCGGAUUCAUUGGGCGUAAAGCGCGCGCAGGCGGCUCGGAAAGUCGGGUGUGAAAACUCGGGGCUCAACCCCGGGCGUGCAUCCGAUACUGCCGGGCUUGAGGCAGGUAGGGGAGAUCGGAAUUCCUGGUGUAGCGGUGAAAUGCGCAGAUAUCAGGAGGAACACCGGUGGCGAAGGCGGAUCUCUGGGCCUGUCCUGACGCUGAGGCGCGAAAGCUAGGGGGGCGAACAGG
rnacentral:rRNA from 1 species